GCUGGCGUUGUGAUGAUGACUCUUUGCCGUUUACCCAGCUGAUUUCUGUGAUGAGUAACACUGUAUCUGAUGUGCCAGC
rnacentral:snoRNA from 7 species